rnacentral:rRNA from 1 species
UACGAAGGGUGCAAGCGUUAAUCGGAAUUACUGGGCGUAAAGGGUGCGUAGGCGGUUGUUUAAGUCUGUCGUGAAAUCCCCGGGCUCAACCUGGGAACGGCGAUGGAUACUGGGCAGCUAGAGUGUGUCAGAGGAUGGUGGAAUUCCCGGUGUAGCGGUGAAAUGCGUAGAGAUCGGGAGGAACAUCAGUGGCGAAGGCGGCCAUCUGGGACAACACUGACGCUGAAGCACGAAAGCUAGGGGAGCAAACGGG